rnacentral:rRNA from 1 species
UUAAGCGAAUAAGCGUACACGGUGGAUGCCUAGGCAAUCAGAGGCGAUGAAGGACGUGCUAAUCUGCGAAAAGCGUCGGUAAGGUGAUAUGAACCGUUAUACCCGACGAUAUCCGAAUGGGGAAACCCAGUAUCCAAUGGAUACUAUCAUUAACUGAAUCCAUAGGUUAAUGAGGCGAACCGGGAGAACUGAAACAUCUCAGUACCCCGAGGAAAAGAAAUCAACCGAGAUUCCCCUAGUAGCGGCGAGCGAACGGGGAGCAGCCCAGAGUCUUAAUCAAUAGCAGUGUCAGGAGAACGGUCUGGAAAGUCCGGCAGUAAAGGGUGAUAGCCCCGUAUCUGAAGAUGUUGUUAUUGUGAACUCGACGAGUAGGGCGGGACACGUGUUAUCCUGUCUGAAUAUGGGGGGACCAUCCUCCAAGGCUAAAUACUCCUGAUUGACCGAUAGUGAACCAGUACCGUGAGGGAAAGGCGAAAAGAACCCCGGCGAGGGGAGUGAAAAAGAACCUGAAACCGUGUACGUACAAGCAGUAGGAGCCUCUUUAUGGGGUGACUGCGUACCUUUUGUAUAAUGGGUCAGCGACUUAUAUUCUGUAGCAAGGUUAACCGUAUAGGGGAGCCGUAGGGAAACCGAGUCUUAACUGGGCGAAUGAGUUGCAGGGUAUAGACCCGAAACCCGGUGAUCUAUCCAUGGGCAGGUUGAAGGUUGGGUAACACUAACUGGAGGACCGAACCGACUAAUGUUGAAAAAUUAGCGGAUGACUUGUGGAUGGGGGUGAAAGGCCAAUCAAACCGGGAGAUAGCUGGUUCUCCCCGAAAGCUAUUUAGGUAGCGCCUCGUGAACUCAUCUUCGGGGGUAGAGCACUGUUUCGACUAGGGGGUCAUCCCGACUUACCAACUCGAUGCAAACUGCGAAUACCGAAGAAUGUUAUCACGGGAGACACACGGCGGGUGCUAACGUCCGUCGUGAAGAGGGAAACAACCCAGACCGCCAGCUAAGGUCCCAAAGUCAUGGUUAAGUGGGAAACGAAGUGGGAAGGCUCAGACAGCCAGGAUGUUGGCUUAGAAGCAGCCAUCAUUUAAAGAAAGCGUAAUAGCUCACUGGUCGAGUCGGCCCGCGCGGAAGAUGUAACGGGGCUAAACCAUGCACCGAAGCUGCGGCAGCGACACAUAGUGUUGUUGGGUAGGGGAGCGUUCUGUAAGCCUGCGAAGGUGUACUGUGAGGUAUGCUGGAGGUAUCAGAAGUGCGAAUGCUGACAUAAGUAACGAUAAUGCGGGUGAAAAACCCGCACGCCGGAAGACCAAGGGUUCCUGUCCAACGUUAAUCGGGGCAGGGUGAGUCGACCCCUAAGGCGAGGCUGAAAAGCGUAGUCGAUGGGAAACGGGUUAAUAUUCCCGUACUGGUGGUAACUGCGAUGGGGGAACGGAGAAGGCUAGGUUGUCCGGGCGACGGUCGUCCCGGUUCAAGCAGGUAGGCAGAGUGAUUAGGCAAAUCCGGUCACUUAAUGCUGAGAUGUGAUGACGAACCACUAAGGUGGUGAAGCAAUUGAUGCCCCGCUUCCAGGAAAAGCCUCUAAGCUUCAGGUUACCAACAAUCGUACCCCAAACCGACACAGGUGGUCAGGUAGAGAAUACUCAGGCGCUUGAGAGAACUCGGGUGAAGGAACUAGGCAAAAUGGUGCCGUAACUUCGGGAGAAGGCACGCUGGCGGUAGGUAAAGUCCCUUGCGGACGGCGCUGAAGCCAGUCGAAGAUACCAGCUGGCUGCAACUGUUUAUUAAAAACACAGCACUGUGCAAACACGAAAGUGGACGUAUACGGUGUGACGCCUGCCCGGUGCUGGAAGGUUAAUUGAUGGGGUCAGCCGUAAGGCGAAGCUCCUGAUCGAAGCCCCAGUAAACGGCGGCCGUAACUAUAACGGUCCUAAGGUAGCGAAAUUCCUUGUCGGGUAAGUUCCGACCUGCACGAAUGGCGUAAUGAUGGCCAGGCUGUCUCCACCCGAGACUCAGUGAAAUUGAACUCGCUGUGAAGAUGCAGUGUACCCGCGGCAAGACGGAAAGACCCCGUGAACCUUUACUAUAGCUUGACACUGAACAUUGAGCCUUGAUGUGUAGGAUAGGUGGGAGGCUUUGAAGUGUGGACGCCAGUCUGCAUGGAGCCAACCUUGAAAUACCACCCUUUAACGUUUGAUGUUCUAACCUAGGCCCAUAAACUGGGUCGGGGACCGUGUCUGGUGGGUAGUUUGACUGGGGCGGUCUCCUCCUAAAGAGUAACGGAGGAGCACGAAGGUUGGCUAAGCAUGGUCGGACAUCAUGCGGUUAGUGCAAAGGCAUAAGCCAGCUUGACUGCGAGAGUGACGGCUCGAGCAGGUACGAAAGUAGGUCUUAGUGAUCCGGUGGUUCUGAAUGGAAGGGCCAUCGCUCAACGGAUAAAAGGUACUCCGGGGAUAACAGGCUGAUACCGCCCAAGAGUUCAUAUCGACGGCGGUGUUUGGCACCUCGAUGUCGGCUCAUCACAUCCUGGGGCUGAAGUAGGUCCCAAGGGUAUGGCUGUUCGCCAUUUAAAGUGGUACGCGAGCUGGGUUUAGAACGUCGUGAGACAGUUCGGUCCCUAUCUGCCGUGGGCGUUGGAAGAUUGAGAGGGGUUGCUCCUAGUACGAGAGGACCGGAGUGAACGCACCACUGGUGUUCGGGUUGUCAUGCCAAUGGCAUUGCCCGGUAGCUAAGUGCGGAAGAGAUAACCGCUGAAAGCAUCUAAGCGGGAAACUUGCCUCGAGAUGAGUCUUCCCUGUCGCUUUAAGCGACCUAAAGGAACGUUUAAGACUAAGACGUUGAUAGGCUGGGUGUGUAAGCGUAGCGAUACGUUGAGCUAACCAGUACUAAUGAACCGUGAGGCUUAACCUG